UACGGAGGAUGCAAGCGUUAUCCGGAUUUAUUGGGUUUAAAGGGUGCGCAGGUUGUUUGAUAAGUCAGUGGUGAAAGUCUGUCGCUUAACGGUAGGAUUGCCAUUGAUACUGUUAGACUUGAAUAUGGAUGAGGUAGGCGGAAUGUGUAGUGUAGCGGUGAAAUGCAUAGAUAUUACACAGAACACCGAUUGCGAAGGCAGCUUACUAAUCCAUCAUUGACGCUGAGGCACGAAAGCGUGUGGAUCAAA
rnacentral:rRNA from 1 species